AACGAACGCUGGCGGCAUGCCUAACACAUGCAAGUCGAACGAGAUCUUCGGGUCUAGUGGCGCACGGGUGCGUAACGCGUGGGAAUCUGCACUGUGGUUCAGAAUAACAGUUUGAAACGACUGCUAAUACCGUAUGAUAACGAAAUUCCAAAGAAUUAUCGCCAGGGGAUGAGCCCGCGUAGGAUUAGCUAGUUGGUGGGGUAAAGGCGCACCAAGGCGACGAUCCUUAGCUGGUCUGAGAGGAUGAUCAGCCACACUGGGACUGAGACACGGCCCAGACUCCUACGGGAGGCAGCAGUGGGGAAUAUUGGACAAUGGGCGAAAGCCUGAUCCAGCAAUGCCGCGUGAGUGAUGAAGGCCUUAGGGUUGUAAAGCUCUUUUACCCGGGAUGAUAAUGACAGUACCGGGAGAAUAAGCUCCGGCUAACUCCGUGCCAGCCGCCGCCGUAA
rnacentral:rRNA from 1 species